GGGGGAGCGCAGCAGCCCAGGGACACACACAACGGGCCAGGUGCGCUGAGACAGCGUUGGCUGUCUGGCCCUCUCGGACCGGGGACCAGCACCUUCUGACUGCACGCGAGGACAUAAUUGUUAUUUUCAAUGAUAAUGAUGACUAUGGUGCUUGAUGGCCUCCAAGUGUUUUCACAUCCAUUGUCUUAGAUCCUGAUGCCACCACUGUGAGAAGCUACAGAUAAUAGGCCUUGUAUGAGGUAGAAAGCCUUGAACCCCACCUUGGCUCUCCAUGGAGCCCCACAGGAAAGCAGUCUCCAAGGGCAGCCUGGAAAGGAA